GACGAACGCUGGCGGCGUGCUUAACACAUGCAAGUCGAACGGAAAGGCCCUGCUUUUGUGGGGUGCUCGAGUGGCGAACGGGUGAGUAACACGUGAGUAACCUGCCCUUGACUUUGGGAUAACUUCAUGAAACUGGGGCUAAUACCGGAUAGGAGCUCCUGCUGCAUGGUGGGGGUUGGAAAGUUUCGGCGGUUGGGGAUGGACUCGCGGCUUAUCAGCUUGUUGGUGGGGUAGUGGCUUACCAAGGCUUUGACGGGUAGCCGGCCUGAGAGGGUGACCGGCCACAUUAGGACUGAGAUACGGCCCAGACUCCUACGGGAGGCAGCAGUGGGGAAUAUUGCACAAUGGGCGGAAGCCUGAGGCAGCAACGCAGCGUGCGGGAUGACGGGCUUCGGGUUGUAAACCGAUGUCGCCUGUGACGAAGCGUGAGUGACGGUAAUGGGUAAAGAAGCACCGGCUAACUACGUG
rnacentral:rRNA from 1 species